rnacentral:rRNA from 1 species
GACGGACGCUGGCGGCGUGCCUAACACAUGCAAGUCGAGCGGGAUCCAUCUGGUGGCAACACCGGGGAAGAUCUAGCGGCGAACGGGUGAGUAACACGUGAGAAACCUGCCCCGAACUUCGGGAUAACACGGGGAAACCCGUGCUAAUACCGAAUACCCUCUACCGGUCGCAUUGCCGGAAGCGGAAAGAUUCAUCGGUUCGGGAGGGUCUCGCGGCCUAUCAGCUAGUUGGCGGGGUAACGGCCCACCAAGGCAUCGACGGGUAGCUGGUCUGAGAGGACGAUCAGCCACACUGGGACUGAGACACGGCCCAGACUCCUACGGGAGGCAGCAGUGGGGAAUCUUGCGCAAUGGGCGAAAGCCUGACGCAGCAACGCCGCGUGCGGGAUGAAGGCCUUCGGGUUGUAAACCGCUUUCAGCAGGGAAGAAAAUGACGGUACCUGCAGAAGAAGCCCCGGCCAACUACGUGCCAGCCGCCGCAGUAA